rnacentral:rRNA from 1 species
AUUGAACGCUGGCGGCAGGCCUAACACAUGCAAGUCGAACGAGUGGCGGACGGGUGAGUAAUGUCUGGGAAACUGCCUGAUGGAGGGGGAUAACUACUGGAAACGGUAGCUAAUACCGCAUACCAUCCGAUGUGACCAGAUGGGAUUAGGUUUUUGGUGAGGUAACGGUGCACCAAUGCGACGAUCCCUAGCUGGGUUGAGAGGAUGACCAGCCACCAGGGAACUGAGACACGGGCCACACGCCUACGGGAGGCAGCUGUGGGGAAUAUUGCACAAUGGGCGCAAGCCUGAUGCAGCCAUGCCGCGUGUAUGAAGAAGGCCUUCGGGUUGUAAAGUACUGUCAGCGGGGAGGCGUUACCCGCAGAAGAAGCACCGGCUAACUCCGUGCCAGCAGCCGCGGUAAUUC